AUACUGCUCCUUCCGUUUCAAAAUUUUUGUCUUAGAUUUGUUUAGAAAUAAAUGUAUCUAAAUACUAAAACGUGACUAGAUACAUUCAUAUCUAGAUAAAUCUAAAAUAAGAAUUUUGAAACGGAAGGAGUAGUAU
rfam:Hordeum vulgare subsp. vulgare, WGS project CAJW01000000 data, contig: morex_contig_1575195